rnacentral:rRNA from 1 species
GGUAUCGCGGGGCCGGCAGCGUCGGUAUAACGGGGGGUCCAAGUGUGAAUGGGAAGUACUGUGCGGAAAGCUGAUGCAGGCGGGUUGUGAAGGCAGAUGUGAAAGCCCCGGGCUGAACCUGGGAAUUGCAUCUGAUAAUGGCAAGCUGGAGUCUCGGAGAGGGUGGUAGAAUUCCAGGUGUAGCGGUGAAAUGCGUAGAGAUCUGGAGGAAUACCGGUGGCGAAGGCGGCUUUCUGGACUGUAACUGACACUGAGGCAUGAAAGCGUGGGGAGCAAACAGGAUUAGAUACCCGUGUAGUC